rnacentral:rRNA from 1 species
AUACGGAGGAUCCGAGCGUUAUCCGGAUUUAUUGGGCUUAAAGGGAGCGUAGGUGGAUUGUUAAGUCAGUUGUGAAAGUUUGCGGCUCAACCGUAAAAUUGCAGUUGAAACUGGCAGUCUUGAGUAUAGUAGAGGAGGGCGGAAUUCGUGGUGUAGCGGUGGAAUGCUUAGAUAUCACGAAGAACUCCGAUUGCGAAGGCAGCUCACUAGACUGUUACUGACACUGAUGCUCGAAAGUGUGGGUAUCAAACAGGAUUAGAUACCCUGGUAGUCCACACAGUAAACGAUGAAUACUCGCUGUUUGCGAUAUACAGUAAGCGGCCAAGCGAAAGCAUUAAGUAUUCCACCUGGGGAGUACGCCGGCAACGGUGAAACUCAAAGGAAUUGACGGGG